ACCGCCCGCCCGCCUCAGGGACGCGCCGGCCGUUGGGCCCGGCGGUCGGCAGGCGCAGAGGGAAGGCCCGGGGCGUGUGUCCGUGUGUCCUCGCACGUAUCCGCGGGCCGAUUCCGGCAUGGCGCGGGAAAGGACCUGCGGCCCCGGCGGGAGGGGGGACCCGCCGUGGAGUCCGGGUGGGGUGCUGCCCCCGAGCGCUUCGGUGCGGCUUUGAACCCGGCCCGGGAGGGUUUCCGAGGGCACCUGAGCGAAAGUAGAAGUCACUCCAACAGGCGUUCCCUUUAUUCAAUCAGCUAAAGCGGGAAUCGCCAGUAGAGAAGUCACUCACGAGACGGCAGCUAGCCUUGCUUGUCUUUCCGAGACCUGCCACCCCGUGACAUGCAGAACCCUGAGGUGAGACCCAGUGACCCCUACGAGGGGGAGGAGCGAUGUACGGAAGAAAUGAGAUAUGCGGAAGCCAGCAGUGUGGAGUGGAGAGUAAGCUAGUCAACAGCAGGGGCCAAGGAGCGUGGACGGGUCUAAGCUGGAAACGUACCUCUAGACUGGAGGGAAAUGCCUUUUCAUCCAAAAUUCACAGAUGUCUUUUAGGGGUUUUGCAUUAGUCAGGUAAGUCAACCCCUUCUCAUGAGACAAAAUAAAACCCAAGUCCUUAUACUAGGGCUAAUUAGCAGGUUUUGAAGAUCCAACAGUUACGGAAACAUUUUUCAAUAAGAAGCAGUUUCUGUGAACAGCUAAGUAGGAGGACAUACGGACACACUCCUGCUUCCACAUGGCUCCUGCCAUCACAUGUGUAUGGAAAGAGGAAAAGACAAGCCUAUUUCUUACAAUACCUGAAUUGCACGCACAUGCAAGCUUUCUAGUUUGGGUUUUUUUGCUGUCAAAACGGUUCAACUUAUCCUGACAUUUGUACAGUUGUGACAAUGAGACUGAAGAAACUUUAAAGUUAGUCUUGCGUUGAAAUUAAACAUGUACUUGAGUUUUAA